GUGGAUUAGUGGCGAACGGGUGAGUAACANUNUGGGCAAUCUGCCCUUCACUCUGGGACAAGCCCUGGAAACGGGGUCUAAUACCGGAUAAUACUCCUGCCUGCAUGGGCGGGGGUUGAAAGCUCCGGCGGUGAAGGAUGAGCCCGCGGCCUAUCAGCUUGUUGGUGGGGUAAUGGCCCACCAAGGCGACGACGGGUAGCCGGCCUGAGAGGGCGACCGGCCACACUGGGACUGAGACACGGCCCAGACUCNUACGGGAGGCAGCAGUGGGGAAUAUUGCACAAUGGGCGAAAGCCUGAUGCAGCGACGCCGCGUGAGGGAUGACGGCCUUCGGGUUGUAAACCUCUUUCAGCAGGGAAGAAGCGAAAGUGACGGUACCUGCAGAAGAAGCGCCGGCUAACUACGUGCCAGCAGCCGCGGUAAUACGUAGGGCGCAAGCGUUGUCCGGAAUUAUUGGGCGUAAAGAGCUCGUAGGCGGCUUGUCACGUCGGAUGUGAAAGCCCGAGGCUUAACCUCGGGUCUGCAUUCGAUACGGGCUAGCUAGAGUGUGGUAGGGGAGAUCGGAAUUCCUGGUGUAGCGGUGAAAUGCGCAGAUAUCAGGGAGGAACACCGGUGGCGAAGGCGGAUCUCUGGGCCAUUACUGACGCUGAGGAGCGAAAGCGUGGGGAGCGAACAGGAUUAGAUACCCCUGGUAGUCCACGCCCGUAAACGUUGGGAAC
rnacentral:rRNA from 2 species